AUGCCUGCAUAGUUCAAGACCACAGCUUUGUUGCAACGAAAAAAAAUCAGACCAAGCCCUCUGACAAUGUUGACAUUUAUAGGGCAAAGGCUCCAUGCACAUUUGCGGAAGUCAUUGGAAAGUAAACAUAUAUUAAUGGUUACCUGCAUGACAACCAGAUAAACAGGUCACAUUAAUGAUUAAGCCAAGGUUGGUUGGAUUAUAGGCCAUAUGUGCACAGAAGGAUGUUGGGCGAAAGCAGGUUUAUGCCGGUGCUAAGGAGCGAAUAUAAUUGUUUAAGGACAGCGAUUCGAGAGGGAAUCUCUGGACACUUUAGAAAACAGGGAAGCCACACAGACACUUGGUCGCAGGGACCACAGUAAAAUAUGCCUGUUGAAAGCCUCCAGAACUCUUAUUCAGCCGGAGGACCAUGCCUCAGGACUACCUGGCAUGAUGACUCCUUGCUGUCCCCAGUUCACCUGGCCGUGCUGCUGCUCCAGUUUCAACUGUUCUGCCUGCGGCUAUGGAAUCCUGACCUGUUCACCGGACGUGCUACCUGACCUGCUGUUUUCAACUCUCUAGAGACAGCAGGAGUGGUAGAGAUACUCUUAAUGAUCGGCUAUGAAAAGCCAACUGACAUUUACUCCUGAGGUGCUGACUUGCUGCACCCUCGACAACUACUGUGAUUAUUAUUAUUUGACCAUGCUGGUCAUUUAUGAACAUUUGAACAUCUUGGCCAUGUUCUGUUAUAAUCUCCACCCGGCACAGCCAGAAGAGGACUGGCCACCCCUCAUAGCCUGGUUCCUCUCUAGGUUUCUUCCUAGGUUUUGGCCUUUCUAGGGAGUUUUUCCUAGCCACCGUGCUUCUCCACCUGCAUUGCUUGCUGUUUGGGGUUUUAGGUCUGGGUUUCUGUACAGCACUUUGAGAUAUCAGCUGAUGUACGAAUGGGCUAUAUAAAUACAUUUGAUUUGAUUUGAUUUGGAGGACCCAACAACACCCGAGUGAAGUCUAAAACGUAACUCAAAUUUGAAAGAAAGGUGAACUAUCCCUUUAAGCACCCAGUGCACCCCUAACUAAGCUGGGCAACAGAACUGGACUUCUUCCUCUGUCUCAACACUGACAUGUCAUCAAGCAACUUCCAAAGGUUUUAAUCAGCUUCGGUUUGCAAUCCCAACUUUCUAUGUUUCAUCAGUCCUGCAUUUUUGUAUAAUUGAUAUAUUGGGGACAAAAACCUACAUCUCUAGGACAUACUAAUUAGAAAUGGGAGACAUGUUAGUGCACUCAGCACAAUAUCCAGUUUUACAAGUCUAAGUAGCUAAACUGUGUACCGUAUCUGGACACUGGCUUCCGUAAAGUCAGGUUUCUCCCACCAAAUGUAUGCCUGAGCAAUUGUAAUUGUGUGGAAAAUGCAUGCAGUCCCCACCCAGCACCACCACCCAUGCUGCACUCCCCUGUGGAUAACAAAUGGGCCUUUUCUCUGUGAAUUGAGGCUAAACGAUGGUUUCACUUAGAGAGCAAAGUGACUGUCCAUCUUCAUAACUGCUCUCCAUCAAAGAGCAAUGAAUCCCAUCCUAUCGCACUGGCUCUGAUUUAACACAGGCAAUGAAUAUCCCCUCUGUGUAGGCCUGCAAAGCCGGCCCCUGUGCCAGCCUCCCACCUGAAACUAUCAGCUAUUCUUCUCUUGUAAUAAAAAAAACAUCUGGUCAGGUGAGUACCUCGCUCCUCUGGCUGCGCUAUU